AUUGAACGCUGGCGGCAGGCCUAACACAUGCAAGUCGAGCGGAUGAAGGGAGCUUGCUCCUGGAUUCAGCGGCGGACGGGUGAGUAAUGCCUAGGAAUCUGCCUGGUAGUGGGGGAUAACGUCCUGAAACGGGCGCUAAUACCGCAUACGUCCUGAGGGAGAAAGUGGGGGAUCUUCGGACCUCACGCUAUCAGAUGAGCCUAGGUCGGAUUAGCUAGUUGGUGGGGUAAAGGCCUACCAAGGCGACGAUCCGUAACUGGUCUGAGAGGAUGAUCAGUCACACUGGCACUGAGACACGGCCCAGACUCCUACGGGAGGCAGCAGUGGAGAAUAUUGGACGAUGGGCGAAAGCCUGAUCCAGCCAUGCCGCGUGUGUGAAGAAGGUCUUCGGAUUGUAAAGCACUUUAAGUUGGGAGGAAGGGCAGUAAGUUAAUACCUUGCUGUUUUGACGUUACCAACAGAAUAAGCACCGGCUAACUUCGUG
rnacentral:rRNA from 1 species